GAUGAACGCUGGCGGCGUGCCUAAUACAUGCAAGUCGAGCGAACGGACGAGAAGCUUGCUUCUCUGAUGUUAGCGGCGGACGGGUGAGUAACACGUGGAUAACCUACCUAUAAGACUGGGAUAACUUCGGGAAACCGGAGCUAAUACCGGAUAAUAUUUUGAACCGCAUGGUUCAAAAGUGAAAGACGGUCUUGCUGUCACUUAUAGCUGGAUCCGCGCUGCAUUAGCUAGUUGGUAAGGUAACGGCUUACCAAGGCAACGAUGCAUAGCCGACCUGAGAGGGUGAUCGGCCACACUGGAACUGAGACACGGUCCAGACUCCUACGGGAGGCAGCAGUGGGGAAUCUUCCACAAUGGGCGAAAGCCUGACGGAGCAACGCCGCGUGAGUGAAGAAGGUCUUCGGAUCGUAAAACUCUGUUAUUAGGGAAGAACAGAUGUGUAAUUAACUGUGCACAUCUUGACGGUACCUAAUCAGAAAGCCACGGCUAACUACGUG
rnacentral:rRNA from 1 species